rnacentral:rRNA from 1 species
GACGAACCGUGCAAACGUUAUUCGGAUUCACUGGGCUUAAAGGGCGCGUAGGCGGGUGGUCAAGUCAGGGGUGAAAUCUUUCAGCUUAACUGGAAUACAGCUUCUGAUACUGGCCAUCUUGAGGGAGGUAGGGGCAUGUGGAACUUCUGGUGGAGCGGUGAAAUGCGUUGAUAUCAGAAGGAACGCCGGUGGCGAAAGCGACGUGCUGGACCACAACUGACGCUGAGGAACGAAAGCUAGGGGAGCAAACAAG